GCCCAAUAGCUAGCCCACCUAACCCACCCAACACUCACACAUAAAUACCCCUAAACACGCUUAAUCGCAUAACUAAAUCAUUCUUCCCCCUAAGUACAGGAGAUGGAAAUGGAUCUCGGCGCAAUAGAGAAAGUACCGCAAGGGAACGCUGAAAAAGAAGUGAAANAAUUCAGAGAAGCACAGAAUAGCAGAGCUCCCCCCUCGUACCUUUUGCAUCAUGUUUUAGCUAGAGCCCCUUGAGCAAAAAGUAUUUUAGUUUACUCUCCCGAAACUACGUGAGCUACUCCAGGACAGCCUAAAAAUAGGGCCAACCCGUCUCUGUGGCAAAAGAGUGGGGAGAGCUUUGAGUAGAGGUGAAAAGCCUACCGAACCUAGUUAUAGCUGGUUUUCUGGGAACUGAAUAGUAGUUCAGCCUCUUAGCUUCUUCUCCCUCCCUAAAGGCACUACCUGCACCGAGGCAUUUGAGAAACUUAGAGAGUUAGUCAAAGGGGGUACAGCCCCUUUGAAACAGGACACAACCUUCUUUAGGAGGAUAAGGAUCAUAUUUAACAAGG
rnacentral:rRNA from 1 species